rnacentral:rRNA from 1 species
ACGAUACAUAGCCGACCUGAGAGGGUGAUCGGCCACACUGGGACUGAGACACGGCCCAGACUCCUACGGGAGGCAGCAGUAGGGAAUCUUCGGCAAUGGGGGCAACCCUGACCGAGCAACGCCGCGUGAGUGAAGAAGGUUUUCGGAUCGUAAAGCUCUGUUGUAAGAGAAGAACGAGUGUGAGAGUGGAAAGUUCACACUGUGACGGUAACUUACCAGAAAGGGACGGCUAACUACGUGCCAGCAGCCGCGGUAAUACGUAGGUCCCGAGCGUUAUCCGGAUUUAUUGGGCGUAAAGCGAGCGCAGGCGGUUAGAUAAGUCUGAAGUUAAAGGCUGUGGCUUAACCAUAGUACGCUUUGGAAACUGUUUAACUUGAGUGCAGAAGGGGAGAGUGGAAUUCCAUGUGUAGCGGUGAAAUGCGUAGAUAUAUGGAG